GCAAGAUACCACGGGCGCACGGCGGAUGCCUUGGCACAGGGAGCCGAUGAAGGACGCGGCAAGCUGCGAUAAUCCCCGGCGAGGAGCACACAUCCUUCGACCCGGGGGUCUCCGAAUGGGCGAACCCAUGCACAGCGGUGUGCAUAUCCCCGGCCCGAACACAUAGGGCCGGGGAGGACAACCCGGGGAACUGAAACAUCUAAGUACCCGGAGGAGAGGAAAUCAAUCUCGAGACUCCCCGAGUAGCGGCGAGCGAAAGGGGACCGAUGGCCAAACCGUCGAGCGGGCAUACCCGGCAGGGGUUCCGCCGACGGGGUUGCAGGGCCGCGCAUCCGGGGGCUGCCGCCCCCGGGCGCAGGUCCGGCUGGGGAGCGGAACGGCAUGGGAGGGCCGGCCGCAGCGGGUGACAGCCCCGUACGCGAACCCAGACCGGACGGCGCGACGCGGUCCCUGAGUAGGGCCGGGCACGUGAAACCCGGUCCGAACCUGGGUGGACCACCAUCCAAGCCUGAGUACUACCCUGUGACCGAUAGCGCACCAGUACCGUGAGGGAAAGGUGAAAAGCACCCCGGGAGGGGAGUGAAACAGUACCUGAAACCGUGCGCCCACGAGCAGUCGGAGCACCUUUAUGGUGUGACGGCGUGCCUUUUGUAGAAUGAGCCAGCGAGUCGCUGGCGCGGGGCGAGGUUAACCGAAAGGGAGCCGGAGCGAAAGCGAGCCUUAACAGGGCGACUUGAGUCCCGCGCCGCGGACGCGAAGCCGGGUGAGCUAUCCGUGGGCAGGCUGAAGCGGGGGUAAGACCCCGUGGAGGGCCGAACGCACGUCGGUUGAAAACGGCGGCGAUGACCUGCGGAUAGGGGUGAAAGGCCAAUCAAACCCGGAGAUAUCUCGUUCUCCCCGAAAUAGCUUUAGGGCUAGCGUCGCGCGUUCACCGCCGGAGGUAGAGCACCGGAUGGACGAGGGGGCUUCGCCGCCUACCGAAUCCAACCGAACUCCGAAUGCCGGCGGCCCAGAGCGCGGCAGUCAGAGCAUGUGGGCUAAGCUGUGUGCUCGAGAGGGAAACAGCCCGGACCGCCCGCUAAGGUCCCCAAGUUCCAGCCGAGUGGCAAAGGAUGUGCGUCCGCCCAGACAACCAGGAUGUUGGCUUAGAAGCAGCCAUCCAUUCAAAGAGUGCGUAACAGCUCACUGGUCGAGUGGACAUGCGCCGACAAUACACGGGGCUAAGCUGGACACCGAAGCGGCGGGAUUUUAAUUCAUUAGAAUCGGUAGGGGAGCUUCCCAUGGGCGGCGAAGCCGGAGGGCGACCGACGGUGGAGCGCAUGGGAGUGAGAAUGCUGGCAUGAGUAGCGAGAGACGAGAGAGUAACUCGUCCGCCGUGAACCCGAGGUUUCCUGGGCAAGGCUAAUCCUCCCAGGGUCAGUCGGGGGCUAAGGCGAGGCCGGGAGGCGUAGCCGACGCGCAGCAGGCAGACAUUCCUGCACCGCGCACGCGGCGCUACGACCGACGGGGCGACGGAUGGGGGUGGCUCGGCGGGGUUCUGGACGUCCCCGUGAUGGAGCGCGGCCCGCGGACCAGGGAAAUCCGGUCCGCACGAGGGCGAGGCUCCGGACGAAGCGACUGAGCGAAGCGAGUGAGCCCGAGGUCCCUAGAAAAACCCCUAGGCAGGCGCGUGCGCGCCCGUACCGCAAACCGACACAGGUGGGUGGGUAGAACAUACCGAGGCGAUCGGGUCAACCAUGGUCAAGGAACUCGGCACAAUGGCCCCGUAACUUCGGGAGAAGGGGUGCCCGCGCGUACGUGAACCGGCUCGCCCGGGGAGCGGAGGCGGGCCGCAGUGGAGAGGCCCAAGCGACUGUUUACCAAAAACACAGGACUCUGCAGAAGCCGCAAGGCGACGUAUAGGGUCUGACGCCUGCCCGGUGCCGGAAGGUCACGCGGAGGAGUUAGCCGAUUCGGCGAAGCCCCGAAGCCAAGCCCCGGUAAACGGCGGCCGUAACUAUAACGGUCCUAAGGUAGCGAAAUUCCUUGUCGGGU
rnacentral:rRNA from 1 species